rnacentral:rRNA from 1 species
GACGAACGCUGGCGGCGUGCUUAACACAUGCAAGUCGAAUGGAAAGGCCCUGCUUUUGUGGGGUGCUCGAGUGGCGAACGGGUGAGUAACACGUGAGUAACCUGCCCUUGACUUUGGGAUAACUUCAGGAAACUGGGGCUAAUACCGGAUAGGAGCUCCUGCUGCAUGGUGGGGGUUGGAAAGUUUCGGCGGUUGGGGAUGGACUCGCGGCUUAUCAGCUUGUUGGUGGGGUAGUGGCUUACCAAGGCUUUGACGGGUAGCCGGCCUGAGAGGGUGACCGGCCACAUUGGGACUGAGAUACGGCCCAGACUCCUACGGGAGGCAGCAGUGGGGAAUAUUGCACAAUGGGCGGAAGCCUGAUGCAGCAACGCCGCGUGCGGGAUGACGGCCUUCGGGUUGUAAACCGCUUUCGCCUGUGACGAAGCGUGAGUGACGGUAACGGGUAAAGAAGCACCGGCUAACUACGUG